ACCCUUUGUGAACUUAUACCUUACUGUUGCCUCGGCGCAUGCUGGCCCCCUCGGGGGCCCCUCGGAGACGAGGAGCAGGCACGCCGGCGGCCAAGUUAACUCUUGUUUUUACACUGAAACUCUGAGAAAAAACACAAAUGAAUCAAAACUUUCAACAACGGAUCUCUUGGUUCUGGCAUCGAUGAAGAACGCAGCGAAAUGCGAUAAGUAAUGUGAAUUGCAGAAUUCAGUGAAUCAUCGAAUCUUUGAACGCACAUUGCGCCCUCUGGUAUUCCGGAGGGCAUGCCUGUUCGAGCGUCAUUUCAACCCUCAAGCAUUGCUUGGUGUUGGGGCACUGCCUGUAAAAGGGCAGGCCCUGAAAUCUAGUGGCGAGCUCGCCAGGACCCCGAGCGCAGUAGUUAAACCCUCGCUUUGGAAGGCCCUGGCGGUGCCCUGCCGUUAAACCCCCAACUUCUGAAAAUUU
rnacentral:misc_RNA from 1 species